GGGAUUGUGGCUCAGUGGCAGAGUGCUUGCCUCACAUGUAUGAGGCACUGGGUUCAAUCCUCAGCAUCACA
rnacentral:tRNA from 1 species